ensembl:lncRNA
GCAGUUCUAUUUGCUGUUCUCCUCCUCCCAUUCCUAACAAGCCGUGUACAGUUGUGGAUCCCCCCAGAUGAACUUGAUGGCUGAAGUAGUGUAUGAGUCAAGCUUUUCUCCAAAGACACCUGAAUUCACCCCAGGCUCCUCUACUCCUCUACUUGGAUACAAGGACAGAAAAAUUCCCUGCUCAGUGGAGCUGAGAAGACUGAUGGUGCAGUGCUUCUACAAGCGUCACCAAAGGGACAUAACCUUCUUGAAGUGCUGGUGUGUCUGGAACAAAGCUCAAAUUAUCAGACUGGAACAGGAUAAGAGGAGUGGAAAGUAAAUUACCAAGGACAAGGUUGAAGCCACCAUAACGAGAGUAGCACUCAUAAGAAGAAGUGAUAUCAGAGCUUCCUCUCUUCACUCUGUGAAGAUACAGCAAGAUGGUGAGCAUCAUUAGAAGGAAAGAAGGUCCUAAUCAGAGCCGGAUCUGCUGCCUUCUUGAUCUUUGACUUCUCAGCCUCAAGAACUUUGAACAUUAAACAUAUGUCAACUAAGCCAUUCAGUGUAUGGUAUUUUUAACACCAGUCAAGCUGAAUAAGACAGUGGUCUAAUUUCCAAGGAGUCAAACAAAAUGAACAUAGUUGAGGGUUUAUUGAUGUCAUGAAAAAAUUGCUUAGGCUCCUCAUCUGUAAUAUAUGAAUAAUUACAGAUAUCGCAGAAUGUUUUAUAAAGAUUAAAUGAGAUAUAGUUCUUAAAACAUUCAACUUAUCAUCUGCCUGAGGCUGUGCCCAGAGAUCUUUUUUGAAUUCUUGCCCUCAAUGUGUUUUUAUUUGUUUGUUUGUUUUUAUGUGAGGCUCCCAUUCCAGUUUCUUGGAUACGUGUUAAGGGCAAAGGGACUUAUGGUCACUGAAAUCUGAGGAUAAUAUGGGAAGGAAUGUGAGCCUGAGUUGGCUUGGCAUAUCCUAGACGCAGCCUUGGAAAGUCAUUUGGCAGGAGGAACUGCAAGUUUUACACUUAGAGAAGCCAAGAAGAAAAUAGAGACGGAAGUGAAGGAGUCAAUGUUACAUGUGACCAUAUGAGAGGAAGAGGAAAGCUGAGAUCACAGGAAAUACAGCAGGCAGUAGUUUGUUAAAUAUGAAAAGUGGCUAAUUUUAGUUAGAAACUUUCUUUGGCUGCAACUGCGUUCGUCUGAAACUGGUUGUUGACUCAAAGUCAGACGUCUGUACUGUUAAAAUUAUUCAUGAUAUGAGAAAAAAAAUUGCCCAUGUCUCCUGCCUAUAUACAUAUGUAUGGAGGGAUGUAGGUUGUUUUAAGUACAAUAGGACAGCCACGGCUAGAGCUUUCCUCGUAGAGAUCUGCCAUAGCCACCUACUGCUGCGUCAUCUUGUAAUAACAUAACCGGUGAAAAAAUAACAACCAAAAUACCGACUUGAUCUCCCAGGACAUUGCUUUAAAUGGUAAAGUAUAGGAAGGGACUGACUUACAAAGUCUAGUGUCAUCCACCCCUCUACAUAGGGAUUCUUCCUUAUUCUAGAAAGUGCUUGUAACAAAUAGCAUAAGUAGAGGGCAGAGGGCCAUGAGGGAUCUGCAAGCAGAGGUGUGAUUCUGUUGAAAAGCAGGUUGAAGAAAACACUAAGUGGAGAACUUCAGAUAUCAGAAAAGCUGCCACAUACAAUAUUUAACCUUGUUUUUCCAGAAAGCCUGUAGAGAAGCUCAUAUACAAGUCAGAUAUUCUGUCAGCAAAAUAUAUUUAUAACAGACUACCCACUCAAGACUGAGUGGGUGUUCAGUAUAUGGUUAAAUAUUAAAAAGCAAAUUCUGAAAACAGUAUGUUUUACAAUAUUUUGUUUUAUCAGAAGUUCCCGAUGAAAUGUAUGUUCUACAAGCCACAUGGAAUCUUUGAGGGGACUCUUUGCUGUUAGCUAGGUCUCUUUUUUCCUAGGGAAUUUAUUUUUUCACAGUAUCUCGUACAUGUGUACUUCCUGUCCUUGUUUGUAUAAAUGAAAGCGUUUUGUUCAGUGUUAGACAUCAACUGGAUAGUGAUCGGAAGAGCUCUUUUGAUUAGUUCUGUAGGUCUAUGUUAGCUGCCCCUGGUGAUGACUUGGAGGGAUGUCUGACAUUCUUCCCCACACUAGUCUCCAAAAAGUCUUUGAGUUAUGGCAAUUAAAUAUGUCUCUGCUUUCAAAAAAAAAAAAAAGGACUGAGUGGGUGCUAUCUGAAUGCUAAGUCCCCUGUUAUUUGAGAUAUUCAGUAUUCAAAUGUCUCCCAGAUAUGAUCUCUUGACAUAUAAGCUAUAGAAUAAUCCUUUCUUCCAAUAAGGAAGCCCACAGUCCAGCAUUUUGUAAUGUAAUGUAAUGUGUCUGAAGGAUGCCAGUGUUGUCCAUGGUCAUUGGACAUUCUUAAGACCAUUCUUCAUGAAAAGGAAAACAAAAGCAAAUUUAGUCAUUGCUAAACUUUGCAUGGUGCUACAUGUAAAAUAACUUCAGUUUUAAGGUCCAAAAUAGAAUUUCCCUUUUCAGUUUUAAUGAAAAAAAAAAAUGUAAAUCCAACCACUACCCCAUCAAUUUCCUCUUCUUCAUUCUCUGAAAGUAAUCACUAUUCUGGAAAUCUCUCUAACACUACCACUAUCUAUAUAUAAUCAUGCAUGCUUUUAUAGUUUUCCUUCUUAUGUGUAUUUCCAUAAACAAAAUAAAUUAUUGUUUCAUUUGGUUUAAAAAUGUAUUUAAAUUUUCAACUGAAGUUACUCAAUAUUAUGUUUUUCAUGCUUAUUCAUGUUGAAACAAGUUGAUAUAAGUUUCCCACAUACUCCUUCAUUGUAAGAAUAAUGUUUGAUAUUCUGCUCUUGUAAGAGUGAUAAGCAAAACAACACCCUUCUUCCCAGUCUUACAUAGUCUCACAGCAUUAUGUUUCCAUGAAUCUCCUUUAUUCCAAGACCAGACAGAUGUUUUCUGGGGUAAGAUACUCAGAAGUGGAAUGGACAUACCAUAAAGUAUGGGUAGUUUUGACUGUUUUCAAUUUUAUCCACAUACUCUUCAAAAUGGUGGUAUCAAAUUACACUGCAGAGGUAUGACUGGACUUAAAAUUUAAGUGGCUGGACUUGGAAUUUGUAGUAAUUUAUAUUCCUAAUUUAUGUUCACCAACACAUAUUUGUCUAAUUUUGUUUAUCUGGAAGGUCAGAAAUUUUAAAUUUCUUUUGAUUUGAACCCCCCUUCUAAGUAGUAAAGUUAAGUAUCUUUUCUGUUGCUCUUGUUUGCAGAUAGUGUUUUUCUUCAAAUUAUUUGUUCAAAUUUUUAUUCAUUUAUAGAACACUUUAUUAAGGGUUUGGAACAUUUUUCUGUGUUCUAGGUAUAGACAGCAUCACAUCACAUCAAUUCACUGGAUAGUCAUAGGAAUAAUCUGUUAUUAUUUUAAUGGGACAAAGUAUCAAUAUGUUCCUUUUCAAUGUAUAAUUUUCAUUUUAUUUUAAAUAUUAUCAUAUAUUGAUAUCAUAAAGAUGUUCUAGAUUUUCUUUUUAUUUUAGUUUUUACAUUUUGUAUUUUAACCCAUCUGAAUUGAAUUAAAGUUUUCAAUUGGAAAGUCAGUGUUUACAACCCAGUUAAUAACUUAUCCACUAUUUCCCAACUGUUUAACAUUUCCCCACUGACUGGUAAUGCCUCCUUUGUGGUAUAACUAGUUUCCAAUCUAUAGGUGGUUAUACUUUGGCACUCUCUGUUAUUUUCUACUAAUUGUCAACCAAACUCUUAAUAACUAUUGCUUUAGCUUAAGUCUUUGUGGAUUAAGCUCCCAUUAUUUUGUUUUUAAUUUUUCAAUUGUUUCAAUUGUUGUUUGUCCUUUCCGUUUAUAAAUACAGUCUACGAUCAGCUUGUCUGAUAUCACUGGAAGAAUAUUUCAGAGUGUUAGAAACUGCAUGCUACUUAUGGAUUAAUUUAUGGAAAAUCUCCAUCGCUGUCUUAUUAAAAUUUUCCAAUAUUGAACUUGGUAUAUCUCUCUUAUAAUAUCAUAUUAUUUUAUUUUCUUUAUUAACCUUUUAAUUUUUUUUAAUUUUUAUAUAUCUCUUAUUUGAUUUAAUUCUAAGUACUUUAUAGAAUCCUUUAUAGAUUAUAUCUUUUUAGAAACUAAAGUAUCUAAUCACCACUAACAUAUAGAAACACCACCAUUUUUGUAUAUUCGUGUAAUUUAGUUUGCAUAAUUAUGCUGAAAUAUCUUAUUAGUUAUAGCAAAUUACUUGUACAUUCUCAUUCCUUGAUUAUUGUAUGCUAACAAUGAUAGCAUCUAUAAAUAACAAAUAUGUUGUUUUGUCAUCAAUUACUUAAAAUUUUUAUUUUACAAAUAAUUCUCUUGUACUGGCUAAGUGAUCCAUUUAAAUAAAUAGAAACCUGGCAUGUUUCAGUUAUUUCCAUCAACUC